UUUCCGUAGGUGAACCUGCGGAAGGAUCAUUCAUAAUAAAGUGUUUUAUGGCACUUUUUAAAAAUCCAUAUCCACCUUGUGUGCAAUGUUAGAUCUCGUCAAUCUUGGCGAGAUUUUUAUACAUCAACUCAUUCCUUAACUAAUUUGUCUGAAAAAUAUUAUGAAUACUUAAUUCAAAAUACAACUUUCAACAAUGGAUCUCUUGGCUCUC
rnacentral:misc_RNA from 1 species